CUCGGCACUUCAACUGUUUGAAAGCUGCAGCGGAUCUAAAUUUCACAGACUGAUUAACACGGUAACCAAGCGUUUUUGUUACCUGGGGUCUUCAGAUACAGGAUCCGUCUGGCUAUGUGGAGAAAAGGAGAGAAGUGGUACUGAGAUGCCUGAUUGAGUACAUGUGGGAGGGAAAGGAAGACCUCAUCAGUGUCCACCAUGUAUGUACUGGGCUUAAAGCUACUUAUCUAAUUUCUGUCUGUAUGUUAUUACUAUUGUGAUGAUAUGGGGUAAUUACUUUGUUCUUGAAAUAUAUUUAAUACAGUAAUGUGAUGACCAAUAAGGUACAGGCAAGGAAAAUUGCAUUGUUUUAUUGUAAUGUAUCCUUUGAACCAGAAAAGACAACACUCAUGCUACAGUAGAUCAUGAUAGUAUAGUACCAACACUCUAUGACAUUGUCAUGGUGGACUUCACUCUGGUCACAUGCUCUAGUCAAAGUAUCCAUCUAGUAUCCAUCACCUUAAGCAACUAAAAAGUACAACUUUGACUUUGUGUCGUAUCUGUCUUCUACCAGUCUGCUAUAUUCAUCUCAAUACCUGUUUGUCUGACCAAACUCUUGAUUCUUUUUUGUCUCCCCAAUAGAGUCAUGAUGAAACAGAGGUGUACGCUGAGCUUGGCAGUUCCCCACUGAAAAUAUACAUGCGCCAUCAAAAUAUACAGCCCAUGGUCAGAGGUGUGCCAAACCUGUAGAAAACCUCCUGUUUGGACUUGUCUAUGCCCACAACCUCUAAUAUCACUCAAAUCUGGUGUAUAUUUCUGAGAUAUAUCACAGGCUCUUUGUGGGAUUGGACCCUAUGCAUACUUUUGUAUGUUUUGUAGGCACUGUUAAAAGUGACACUAGUUGACAUUGAAUAAAUGUUAUUGUCUUUAA